rnacentral:sRNA from 1 species
UCGCAUCCGAGAUACCGGACCGUGGUCCU